GGUCCAGGAACAGGGUUGUCUACCCCUGGUGUAGGGUCCAGGAACAGGGUUGUCUACCCCUGGUGUGUAGGGUCCAGGAACAGGGUUGUCUACCCCUGGUGUGUAGGGUCCAGGAACAGGGUUGUCUACCCCUGGUGUAUAGGGUCCAGGAACAGGGUUGUCUACCCCUGGUGUGUAGGGUCCAGGAACAGGGUUGUCUACCCCUGGUGUGUAGGGUCCAGGAACAGGGUUGUCUACCCCUGGUGUAGGGUCCAGGAACAGGGUUGUCUACCCCUGGUGUGUAGGGUCCAGGAACAGGGUUGUCUACCCCUGGUGUGUAGGGUCCAGGAACAGGGUUGUCUACCCCUGGUGUGUAGGGUCCAGGAACAGGGUUGUCUACCCCUGGUGUGUAGGGUCCAGGAACAGGGUUGUCUACCCCUGGUGUAUAGGGUCCAGGAACAGGGUUGUCUACCCCUGGUGUGUAGGGUCCAGGAACAGGGUUGUCUACCCCUGGUGUGUAGGGUCCAGGAACAGGGUUGUCUACCCCUGGUGUAGGGUCCAGGAACAGGGUUGUCUACCCCUGGUGUGUAGGGUCCAGAAACAGGGUUGUCUACCCCUGGUGUAUAGGGUCCAGGAACAGGGUUGUCUACCCCUGGUGUGUAGGGUCCAGGAACAGGGUUGUCUACCCCUGGUGUGUAGGGUCCAGGAACAGGGUUGUCUACCCCUGGUGUAGGGUCCAGGAACAGGGUUGUCUACCCCUGGUGUAUAGGGUCCAGGAACAGGGUUGUCUACCCCUGGUGUAUAGGGUCCAGGAACAGGGUUGUCUACCCCUGGUGUGUAGGGUCCAGGAACAGGGUUGUCUACCCCUGGUGUAGGGUCCAGGAACAGGGUUGUCUACCCCUGGUGUGUAGGGUCCAGGAACAG